UACGGAGGGGGCUAGCGUUGUUCGGAAUUACUGGGCGUAAAGCGCACGUAGGCGGCUUUGUAAGUUAGAGGUGAAAGCCCAGGGCUUAACCCUGGAAUUGCCUUUAAGACUGCAUCGCUAGAAUCGUGGAGAGGUGAGUGGAAUUCCGAGUGUAGAGGUGAAAUUCGUAGAUAUUCGGAAGAACACCAGUAGCGAAGGCGACUUACUGGACACAUAUUGACGCUGAGGUGCGAAAGCGUGGGGAGCAAACAGG
rnacentral:rRNA from 1 species